rnacentral:rRNA from 1 species
AGAGUUUGAUCCUGGCCCAGGAUGAACGCUAGCUACAGGCUUAACACAUGCAAGUCGAGGGGCAGCAUGGUCUUAGCUUGCUAAGGCCGAUGGCGACCGGCGCACGGGUGAGUAACGCGUAUCCAACCUGCCUUACACUCUUGGACAGCCUUCUGAAAGGGAGAUUAAUACAAGAUGUUAUCAUGAGUAAGCAUUUUCGCAUGAUUAAAGGUUUACCGGUGUAAGAUGGGGAUGCGUUCCAUUAGAUAGUAGGCGGGGUAACGGCCCACCUAGUCUUCGAUGGAUAGGGGUUCUGAGAGGAAGGUCCCCCACAUUGGAACUGAGACACGGUCCAAACUCCUACGGGAGGCAGCAGUGAGGAAUAUUGGUCAAUGGACGAGAGUCUGAACCAGCCAAGUAGCGUGAAGGAUGAAGGUUCUAUGGAUUGUAAACUUCUUUUAUACGGGAAUAAACGGAUCCACGCGUGGAUUUUUGCAUGUACCGUAUGAAUAAGGAUCGGCUAACUCCGUGCCAGCAGCCGCGGUAAUACGGAGGAUCCGAGCGUUAUCCGGAUUUAUUGGGUUUAAAGGGAGCGUAGAUGGGUUGUUAAGUCAGUUGUGAAAGUUUGCGGCUCAACCGUAAAAUUGCAAUUGAUACUGGCAGUCUUGAGUACAGUUGAGGUAGGCGGAAUUCGUGGUGUAGCGGUGAAAUGCUUAGAUAUCACGAGGAACUCCGAUUGCGAAGGCAGCUUACUAACCUGUAACUGACAUUGAUGCUCGAAAGUGUGGGUAUCAAACAGGAUUAGAUACCCUGGUAGUCCACACGGUAAACGAUGAAUACUCGCUGUAGGCGAUAUACAGUCUGCGGCCAAGCGAAAGCAUUAAGUAUUCCACCUGGGGAGUACGCCGGCAACGGUGAAACUCAAAGGAAUUGACGGGGGCCCGCACAAGCGGAGGAACAUGUGGUUUAAUUCGAUGAUACGCGAGGAACCUUACCCGGGCUUAAAUUGCAACCGAAUAUGGCGGAAACGCUAUAGCUAGCAAUAGCGGUUGUGAAGGUGCUGCAUGGUUGUCGUCAGCUCGUGCCGUGAGGUGUCGGCUUAAGUGCCAUAACGAGCGCAACCCUUGCCGAUAGUUACUAACAGGUUAUGCUGAGGACUCUGUCGGGACUGCCAUCGUAAGAUGUGAGGAAGGUGGGGAUGACGUCAAAUCAGCACGGCCCUUACGUCCGGGGCUACACACGUGUUACAAUGGGGGGUACAGAGGGCUGCUACCACGCAAGUGGAUGCCAAUCCCAAAAACCUCUCUCAGUUCGGAUUGAAGUCUGCAACCCGACUUCAUGAAGCUGGAUUCGCUAGUAAUCGCGCAUCAGCCACGGCGCGGUGAAUACGUUCCCGGGCCUUGUACACACCGCCCGUCAAGCCAUGGGAGCCGGGGGUACCUGAAGUGCGUAACCGCAAGGAGCGCCCUAGGGUAAAACUGGUGACUGGGGCUAAGUCGUAACAAGGUAGCC